rnacentral:rRNA from 1 species
AUUGAACGCUGGCGGCAGGCCUAACACAUGCAAGUCGAGCGGUAGAGAGGUGCUUGCAUCUCUUGAGAGCGGCGGACGGGUGAGUAAUGCCUAGGAAUCUGCCUGGUGGUGGGGGAUAACGUUCGGAAACGGACGCUAAUACCGCAUACGUCCUACGGGAGAAAGCGGGGGGAUCUUCGGACCUCGCGCCAUUAGAUGAGCCUAGGUCGGAUUAGCUAGUUGGUGAGGUAAUGGCUCACCAAGGCGACGAUCCGUAACUGGUCUGAGAGGAUGAUCAGUCACACUGGAACUGAGACGACGGUCCAGACUCCGUACGGGAGGCAGCAGGUGGGGAAUAGUUGGACAAGUGGGCGAAAGCCUGAUCCAGCCAUCGCCGCGUGUGUGAA